rnacentral:rRNA from 1 species
GAUGAACGCUGGCGGCGUGCCUAAUACAUGCAAGUCGAGCGAACAGAUGAUGAUCUUGCUCCUCUCACGUUAGCGGCAGACGGGUGAGUAACAUGUGUAUAACGUACCUAUAAUACUGGGAUAAUUUCGAGAAACCGGCUCUAAUCCCAGAUGAUAUAUUGAACCACGGGGUUCAAUAGUGAAUGACGGCUUUGCGGUCACUUAUAGCUGGAUCCGCGCCGCUUUAGCUAGUUGGUGAGGUAACGGGUUACGACGGCAACGAUGCGUAGCCGACGUGACAGGGUGGUCGGCCACCCUGGAACUGAGCCACGGUCCAGACUCCUACGGGAGGCAGCAGUAGGGUAUCUUCCGCAAUGGGCGAAAGUCUGACGGGGUAACGCCGCGUGAGUGAUGAAGGUGUUGGGUGCGUAAAGCUCUGUUACUAGGUAAGAACAAAUGUGUAAGUAACUAUGCACGUCUUGACGGUACCUAAUAAGAAAGCAACGGCUAACUACGUG